rnacentral:lncRNA from 1 species
CAUCGACUUACAAGACAACUUCCCAUUUGGUCUAAAGAAAAUUAAAAGACGUGUGUGAGGAAACAAACAUGAUCGGCUUCAGCUGUGUUUUUUUUUUUUCUUGUUAUAUUAGAGCCGCAGCUCCGGCCAAUCCAAGUGACCGUUGUGUCUGUGGCAGAGUUACAACAUCAGCCAUAAUGUGAAGUGGGACCAUGGCUGGCCUGCUAUUCCCAGCCUGGGCAGCCCCCUGUCAGCCUCCUGACAGUUCCAGCCUGCUCCUUCACUACAGUGUUUUUGAUCGGCCCGGCCAGCUUCCGCUGGCAAGACAACCAACCAAAGCAGCCACUUUUUCCUCCCCCGUCACCCCCGUCCUGUCCCCCUCCUUUUCCCACUAUGUAAGCCCAUUUUUAGCUUGACAUAAUCUGAAAUGGUCCUUAAGUGAAUUUAUGUCUACCCCAGUGAAUUAACUUCUGCAGUUUCCUCCUUUAUGUUGCUGUUUUUUUGUAGGGGUUCAGCGACUGAAGGAGAAGAGAUUUGAAACUCAGACCACGGAGUAGACAGCCUAUCAGUAUUCAGUAGAGAAAGUGAGUGAUGGAGAGGGAGAGAGAGAGAAAGGGGGGGGUGAUGUAUCAAUAUUCUGAGUAGUGUUUGAGGGCAAGGGGAACGAACAGAGGAGAGGGAGAAUGUGGGGAGGAGGGGGGGGCUGGUGGGAGAGAGUACUUGAGUGAGUCUUUGACUGAUUAUUUGUACACGUAUAUGCUCAC